rnacentral:rRNA from 1 species
AUGGCUGCCAUCGAUUUUUGUUGCUACGCUCGGCCAACCUCCUCCCCUGUCGUGGCUAGCGAGCCAUCUCCGAUUCCAACUCCGCCCAUCCCCGCGACGCAUGGCGAGCGCGCCGCGCCGUUGCCGGCCUCUCCCGCAGCGCCGCGGACCCCUCGGGGCGGCUGGAGGUGCUGGGAGCGCUGGGGCGCCCGUGCUAUGACGCGCAUCGGGAGUUGUUGGACCUCCGGCGGCCGUGCUGCGACAUGCCGCAAGGUCGACAAAAGCUGCGGCGGGGCUGCGUCAGGAUGCUGGAACCGGCAAGAUCCGGUGCUGCUACCGGCUGCGUCGCGUGCUGGAACCGGAGACCCCCGGUCCUACUAUCGGUUGCAUCUUGGGGAAUGCAAGCUGCGGUGUGUUGUUGUUGCUACUAAUUUUUUUGCUGCUUCUGCUGAGAUUUUUGCUGGAACCAUUUUUAGGAUUUGCUGGAACCGGCUAUCUUUUUGCUUCAACCGAUUGCCAGAAGUUUUUGUUGCUUUAGAUUUUUUGCUGGAACCAUUAUUUAAUUUUGCUGGAACCGGCAAAUCUUUUUGCUUCAACCGAUUACCGAAAGUUUUUGUUGCUUUAGAUUUUUUGCUGGAACCAUCAUUCAUCUUUUUGCUAGAACCUGUAAAUGUUUUUGCUUCAACCAUUUUACCAAAGGUUUUUGGUGCUUUCGGAGUUUUGAUGGAACCACCAAAUCAUUUUGCUUCAACUAGGUACUCGAGGUUUAUGUUGCUUUAG